CGCGGCCUAUCAGCUUGUUGGUGGGGUAAUGGCCUACCAAGGCGACGACGGGUAGCCGGCAUGAGAGGGCGUCCGGCCACACUGGGACUGAGACACGGCCCAGACUCCUACGGGAGGCAGUAGUGGGGAAUAUUGCACAAUGGGCGAAAGCCUGAUGCAGCGACGCCGCGCGAGGGAUGACGGCCUUCGGGUUGUAAACCUCUUUCAGCAGGGAAGAAGCGAAAGUGACGGUACCUGCAGAAGAAGCGCCGGCUAACUACGUGCCAGCAGCCGCGGUAAUACGUAGGGCGCAAGCGUUGUCCGGAAUUAUUGGGCGUAAAGAGCUCGUAGGCGGCUUGUCACGUCGGAUGUGAAAGCCCGAGGCUUAACCUCGGGUCUGCAUUCGAUACGGGCUAGCUAGGGUGUGGUAGGGGAGAUCGGAAUUCCUGGUGUAGCGGUGAAAUGCGCAGAUAUCAGGAGGAACACCGGUGGCGAAGGCGGAUCUCUGGGCCAUUACUGACGCUGAGGAGCGAAAGCGUGGGGAGCGAACAGGGUUAGAUACCCUGGUAGUCCACGCCGUAAACGUUGGGCGCUAGGUGUGGGGUCCUUUUCUGGGUUCCGUGCCGUAGCUAACGCAUUAAGCGCCCCGCCUGGGGAGUACGG
rnacentral:rRNA from 1 species